rnacentral:rRNA from 1 species
GGAGCAGCCCAGAGCCUGAAUCAGUGUGUGUGUUAGUGGAAGCGUCUGGAAAGGCGUGCGAUACAGGGUGACAGCCCCGUACACAAAAAUGCACAUACUGUGAGCUCGAUGAGUAGGGCGGGACACGUGGUAUCCUGUCUGAAUAUGGGGGGACCAUCCUCCAAGGCUAAAUACUCCUGACUGACCGAUAGUGAACCAGUACCGUGAGGGAAAGGCGAAAAGAACCCCGGCGAGGGGAGUGAAAAAGAACCUGAAACCGUGUACGUACAAGCAGUGGGAGCACGCUUAGGCGUGUGACUGCGUACCUUUUGUAUAAUGGGUCAGCGACUUAUAUUCUGUAGCAAGGUUAACCGAAUAGGGGAGCCGAAGGGAAACCGAGUCUUAACUGGGCGUUAAGUUGCAGGGUAUAGACCCGAAACCCGGUGAUCUAGCCAUGGGCAGGUUGAAGGUUGGGUAACACUAACUGGAGGACCGAACCGACUAAUGUUGAAAAAUUAGCGGAUGACUUGUGGCUGGGGGUGAAAGGCCAAUCAAACCGGGAGAUAGCUGGUUCUCCCCGAAAGCUAUUUAGGUAGCGCCUCGUGAAUUCAUCUCCGGGGGUAGAGCACUGUUUCGGCAAGGGGGUCAUCCCGACUUACCAACCCGAUGCAAACUGCGAAUACCGGAGAAUGUUAUCACGGGAGACACACGGCGGGUGCUAACGUCCGUCGUGAAGAGGGAAACAACCCAGACCGCCAGCUAAGGUCCCAAAGUCAUGGUUAAGUGGGAAACGAUGUGGGAAGGCCCAGACAGCCAGGAUGUUGGCUUAGAAGCAGCCAUCAUUUAAAGAAAGCGUAAUAGCUCACUGGUCGAGUCGGCCUGCGCGGAAGAUGUAACGGGGCUAAACCAUGCACCGAAGCUGCGGCAGCGACGCUUAUGCGUUGUUGGGUAGGGGAGCGUUCUGUAAGCCUGUGAAGGUGUGCUGUGAGGUAUGCUGGAGGUAUCAGAAGUGCGAAUGCUGACAUAAGUAACGAUAAAGCGGGUGAAAAGCCCGCUCGCCGGAAGACCAAGGGUUCCUGUCCAACGUUAAUCGGGGCAGGGUGAGUCGACCCCUAAGGCGAGGCCGAAAGGCGUAGUCGAUGGGAAACAGGUUAAUAUUCCUGUACUUGGUGUUACUGCGAAGGGGGGACGGAGAAGGCUAUGUUGGCCGGGCGACGGUUGUCCCGGUUUAAGCGUGUAGGCUGGUUUUCCAGGCAAAUCCGGAAAAUCAAGGCCGAGGCGUGAUGACGAGGCACUACGGUGCUGAAGCAACAAAUGCCCUGCUUCCAGGAAAAGCCUCUAAGCAUCAGGUAACAUCAAAUCGUACCCCAAACCGACACAGGUGGUCAGGUAGAGAAUACCAAGGCGCUUGAGAGAACUCGGGUGAAGGAACUAGGCAAAAUGGUGCCGUAACUUCGGGAGAAGGCACGCUGAUACGUAGGUGAAGCGACUUGCUCGUGGAGCUGAAAUCAGUCGAAGAUACCAGCUGGCUGCAACUGUUUAUUAAAAACACAGCACUGUGCAAACACGAAAGUGGACGUAUACGGUGUGACGCCUGCCCGGUGCCGGAAGGUUAAUUGAUGGGGUUAGCGCAAGCGAAGCUCUUGAUCGAAGCCCCGGUAAACGGCGGCCGUAACUAUAACGGUCCUAAGGUAGCGAAAUUCCUUGUCGGGUAAGUUCCGACCUGCACGAAUGGCGUAAUGAUGGCCAGGCUGUCUCCACCCGAGACUCAGUGAAAUUGAACUCGCUGUGAAGAUGCAGUGUACCCGCGGCAAGACGGAAAGACCCCGUGAACCUUUACUAUAGCUUGACACUGAACAUUGAGCCUUGAUGUGUAGGAUAGGUGGGAGGCUUUGAAGUGUGGACGCCAGUCUGCAUGGAGCCGACCUUGAAAUACCACCCUUUAAUGUUUGAUGUUCUAACGUGGACCCGUGAUCCGGGUUGCGGACAGUGUCUGGUGGGUAGUUUGACUGGGGCGGUCUCCUCCUAAAGAGUAACGGAGGAGCACGAAGGUUGGCUAAUCCUGGUCGGACAUCAGGAGGUUAGUGCAAUGGCAUAAGCCAGCUUGACUGCGAGCGUGACGGCGCGAGCAGGUGCGAAAGCAGGUCAUAGUGAUCCGGUGGUUCUGAAUGGAAGGGCCAUCGCUCAACGGAUAAAAGGUACUCCGGGGAUAACAGGCUGAUACCGCCCAAGAGUUCAUAUCGACGGCGGUGUUUGGCACCUCGAUGUCGGCUCAUCACAUCCUGGGGCUGAAGUAGGUCCCAAGGGUAUGGCUGUUCGCCAUUUAAAGUGGUACGCGAGCUGGGUUUAGAACGUCGUGAGACAGUUCGGUCCCUAUCUGCCGUGGGCGCUGGAGAACUGAGGGGGGCUGCUCCUAGUACGAGAGGACCGGAGUGGACGCAUCACUGGUGUUCGGGUUGUCAUGCCAAUGGCACUGCCCGGUAGCUAAAUGCGGAAGAGAUAAGUGCUGAAAGCAUCUAAGCACGAAACUUGCCCCGAGAUGAGUUCUCCCUGACCCUUUAAGGGUC